rnacentral:rRNA from 1 species
AUGUCUCGUGUGCUAACCUCCAAGAAGGCUAAACUUGGGGUUGAUCAUGCUAGACUCAAAGAGGAGUUUGAGAUACUUGACAAGGCCCAGAAGGUCUUGAAGGGUACUCAUGCUAGCCUCAAGGAGUCUCAUGCUCAACUCCAAGUUAAGCUAAUCAAGGAAAAGGCCACCUUUCCUCAUAUGUUAUUAAUCGAUAAUGCAUGUGCUACUAACCCUUGUUGUGAGCAUGUGCAUCUUGUGGAGGAAAAUGCCAAGUUGAAGGAUCAACUUGAGAAGGGCCUUAUGACUUGCAUUCAAGGUGAGAAAAACCUCAACGACCUUUUGAGCAAUCAAAAGGAAGUUGUGGGCAAGGAAUGA